GGACGCCCCGGGUUCUCUUGCGAAUCUUUGUGUGUGCACCGGUCUUAAAGAAGUGACUCAGUGGCAAGUGUAGUUCUCCGUCCCUUUCAGACCAGAUGGGUCACCGGCUGUUGAAAAAGAAUCAAAACCUCUGAAAAGGAAAUACAUGUACGUGGUUGAAAACUCAAAAGGCACCAAAAGUGAUACAGUGACAAGUUGUGUGUUUUCUCUUUCCUGGAAGAUUGAGAGCUUUCUGAGGGCGGGGCUCAAUUCCUGCCCCAGGAUCUGCCCCGGCACCUGGGGCAGCACCCGUUCAAGGGCAGAUGGCCCAGUGCUGCCUAGGAACAGGCUGACAAGCUGGGCAGCCUGGCAGUCCUCCCCCGGUCUCAGGCUCCCUGAGCCGAGGGGAGGAAGGAGGCUGCUGUCUUUAAAGACGACGUGAUGGACAGUUAUUGAAGGCGCUCAGCUGGGGCUCUACUCUAGUCUUAAUCUGAGCCGCCCUCAAGGAAAUCAUAACCAGCUCUUAAAAACAUGUUAAGACCAAAGCUGGUGUGUGUGUUUGAGCAGAGCUUCAGACAGCUACUUAACACUGGGGGCCUCCAGGCCUUUGAUUCCUCUACCCCUCGCUUUGCCCUCUCCCCCCAUCUGGCUGGUGUUUAUCGGCCAAGACGUUGUUUAAAUCACACUCGCUUCCUAUAAACAUUUCACUUGAAAUGCCAUCCGCUGCUCCAGAAAUUCAUCUAUCACCAGCUCGGGGGUGUACUUGAGAAGCCUCGGGGCGAUGACUCCCCAUUCUCUCUCUCCUGUCCCCCCAUCAUCCCUCCUCCCCUGACCCAUAUGCUCAGGUUUCACACUGUAAGAACAACUUCCCCUCCGUGUAACAGGGCACUUAGUGCCAGGAUUAUUUAUAACAGCUGAGGUGGCAACAGGCUGUGGGGAGCCGCCCGGCCCGUGGAUGCCUCCGCUUGCAAAGCUCAAUAAAUGGACCUGGCACACUGUUUA